rnacentral:rRNA from 1 species
AUUGAACGCUGGCGGCAUGCCUUACACAUGCAAGUCGAACGGCAGCACGGGAGCAAUCCUGGUGGCGAGUGGCGAACGGGUGAGUAAUAUAUCGGAACGUGCCCAGUCGUGGGGGAUAACGCAGCGAAAGCUGUGCUAAUACCGCAUACGAUCUACGGAUGAAAGCGGGGGAUCGCAAGACCUCGCGCGAUUGGAGCGGCCGAUAUAUGAUUAGCUAGGUGGUGAGGUAAAGGCUCACCAAGGCGACGAUCUGUAGCUGGUCUGAGAGGACGACCAGCCACACUGGAACUGGGACACGGUCCAGACUCCUACGGGAGGCAGCAGUGGGGAAUUUUGGACAAUGGGCGAAAGCCUGAUCCAGCAAUGCCGCGUGCAGGAUGAAGGCCUUCGGGUUGUAAACUGCUUUUGUACGGAACGAAACGGUGAGCUCUAAUACAGUUUGCUAAUGACGGUACCGUAAGAAUAAGCACCGGCUAACUACGUGCCAGCAGCCGCAGUAA